CCUACGGGGCGCAGCAGUGAGGAAUAUUGGUCAAUGGACGAGAGUCUGAACCAGCCAAGUAGCGUGAAGGAUGACUGCCCUAUGGGUUGUAAACUUCUUUUAUAAAGGAAUAAAACGAGGCACGUGUGCCUUUUUGCAUGUACUUUAUGAAUAAGGAUCGGCUAACUCCGUGCCAGCAGCCGCGGUAAUACGGAGGAUCCGAGCGUUAUCCGGAUUUAUUGGGUUUAAAGGGAGCGUAGAUGGGUUGUUAAGUCAGUUGUGAAAGUUUGCGGCUCAACCGUAAAAUUGCAAUUGAUACUGGCAGUCGUGAGUACAGUUGAGGUAGGCGGAAUUCGUGGUGUAGCGGUGAAAUGCUUAGAUAUCACGAAGAACCCCGAUUGCGAAGGCAGCUUACUAAACUGUGACUGACAUUGAUGCUCGAAAGUGUGGGUAUCAAACAGGAUUAGAUACCCGAGUAGUC
rnacentral:rRNA from 1 species